UGCCCUCGUGGACGAAUGGUUAAGUCGCUGCUCUUUCAAAGCGGAGGUUGCGGGUUCGACCCCCGUCGAGGGAAU
rnacentral:tRNA from 1 species